GGAACUCCUCAGCUUCAGCUUCAACUCCCCUCUUUAUCCUGGUUUUCCUUUCUUUUUCAGAAUCCUUCUCAUCUGCAGUCCAGCCAAGACCUUGUGCUUUUCACUCUGCAUCUCUUUGUAUUUCUUUCUCUCUCACUUCAUUCUUUCAGCAGCUAGGUGGCACAGUGUAUAGAGCACUGGGCCUGGAGUUCAAAUCUAGUUUCAGAUAGUUACUGGCUAUGUGACUCUGAGCAAGUCACUUUAACUCUGUUUGUCUCUUCUGUAAAAUGAUCUGAGAAGAAAAAUGGCCAACAACUUCAGUAUCUCUCCCCCAAAAAUCCCCCAAUGGAAUCACAAAGAGUCUGACAAAACUGAAAAAAAAAAUAAACAACAAAAAUGGGAGGUGAUCUCAGAGGGAAGGCACUAGAAGUGGGUAUGGAAGGCUUGGAGAAGAAGAGCACCAAGCCAAUCUUCUUGAAACCUCUGAUCUAGGUGGUACAAGUAAUAUUUUCCCAGUUUUACAAAUGAGGAGCCUGAGAUCCAGAGAGUGGCCAUUUUUGCUUUUUAUCUCCCCCCAGCAGAGCUCUGAGUCUGGGACCAGGAUCUGUUCCCUAUUAUCUGACUCUGAGGCACUUAACAGUUUUUCCUCUGGAUAAGGAUAGCGUUCUUUCUGAGAGAG
rnacentral:lncRNA from 1 species